UACGAAGGGGGCUAGCGUUGCUCGGAAUCACUGGGCGUAAAGGGUGCGUAGGCGGGUCUUUAAGUCAGGGGUGAAAUCCUGGAGCUCAACUCCAGAACUGCCUUUGAUACUGAGAAUCUUGAGUACGGGAGAGGUGAGUGGAACUGCGAGUGUAGAGGUGAAAUUCGUAGAUAUUCGCAAGAACACCAGUGGCGAAGGCGGCUCACUGGCCCGUUACUGACGCUGAGGCACGAAAGCGUGGGGAGCAAACAGG
rnacentral:rRNA from 1 species